GAUGAACGCUGGCGGCGUGCUUAACACAUGCAAGUCGAACGAAGCAUUUAGAAGUUUUCGGACGGAUAAAUGACUUAGUGGCGGACGGGUGAGUAACGCGUGGGUAACCUGCCUUAUACAGGGGGAUAACAGUUGGAAACGACUGCUAAUACCGCAUAAGCCGAUAGAGUCGCAUGACUUAGUCGGAAAAGAUUUAUCGGUAUAAGAUGGACCCGCGUCGGAUUAGCUAGUUGGUGAGGUAAUGGCCCACCAAGGCGACGAUCAGUAGCCGGCUUGAGAGGGUGAACGGCCACAUUGGGACUGAGACACGGCCCAAACUCCUACGGGAGGCAGCAGUGGGGAAUAUUGCACAAUGGGGGAAACCCUGAUGCAGCAACGCCGCGUGAAGGAUGAAGUAUUUCGGUAUGUAAACUUCUAUCAGCAGGGAAGAAAUUGACGGUACCUGACUAAGAAGCCCCGGCUAACUACGUGCCAGCCGCCGCAGUAAAAC
rnacentral:rRNA from 1 species